rnacentral:rRNA from 1 species
AUUGAACGCUGGCGGCAUGCCUUACACAUGCAAGUCGAACGGUAACGCGGGGCAACCUGGCGACGAGUGGCGAACGGGUGAGUAAUAUAUCGGAACGUGCCCAGUAGUGGGGGAUAGCCCGGCGAAAGCCGGAUUAAUACCGCAUGAGACCUGAGGGUGAAAGCGGGGGAUCGCAAGACCUCGCGCUAUUGGAGCGGCCGAUAUCAGAUUAGCUAGUUGGUGGGGUAAAGGCCUACCAAGGCAACGAUCUGUAGUUGGUCUGAGAGGACGACCAGCCACACUGGGACUGAGACACGGCCCAGACUCCUACGGGAGGCAGCAGUGGGGAAUUUUGGACAAUGGGCGCAAGCCUGAUCCAGCAAUGCCGCGUGCAGGAAGAAGGCCUUCGGGUUGUAAACUGCUUUUGUCAGGGAAGAAAUCUUCUGGGUUAAUACCUCGGGAGGAUGACGGUACCUGAAGAAUAAGCACCGGCUAACUACGUGCCAGCAGCCGCCGCAGUAA